GAUGAACGCUGGCGGCGUGCCUAAUACAUGCAAGUCGAGCGAACGGACGAGAAGCUUGCUUCUCUGCUGUUAGCGGCUGACGGGUGAGUAACACGUGGAUAACCUACCUCUAAGACUGGGAUAACUUCGGGAAACCGGUGCUAAUACCGGAUGAUAUUUUGAACCGCAUGGUUCAAGAGUGAAAGACGGUCUUGCUGUCACUUAUAGCUGGAUCCGCGCUGCAUUAGCUAGUUGGUAAGGUAACGGCUUACCAAGGCAACGAUGCAUAUCCGACCUGAGAGGAUGAUCGGCCACACUGGAACUGAGACACGGUCCAGACUCCUACGGGAGGCAGCAGUAGGGAAUCUUCCGCAAUGGGCGAAAGCCUGACGGAGCAACGCCGCGUGAGUGAUGAAGGUCUUCGGAUCGUAAAACCCUGUUAUUAGGGAAGAACAUAAGUGUAAGUAACUGUGCACAUCUUGACGGUACCUAAUCAGAAAGCCACGGCUAACUACGUG
rnacentral:rRNA from 1 species